ACUCCUACGGGAGGCGAGCAGUGGGAAUAUUGGCACAAUGGCGCAAAGGCCUGAUGCAGCCAUGCCGCGUGUGUGAAGAAGGCCUUCGGGUUGUAAAAGCACUUUCAGUCGUGAGGAAGGUAGUGUAGUUAAUAGCUGCAUUAUUUGACGUUAGCGACAGAAGAAGCACCGGCUAACUCCGUGCCAGCAGCCGCGGUAAUACGGAGGGUGCGAGCGUUAAUCGGAAUUACUGGGCGUAAAGCGCAUGCAGGUGGUUUGUUAAGUCAGAUGUGAAAGCCCGGGGCUCAACCUCGGAAUUGCAUUUGAAACUGGCAGACUAGAGUACUGUAGAGGGGGGUAGAAUUUCAGGUGUAGCGGUGAAAUGCGUAGAGAUCUGAAGGAAUACCGGUGGCG
rnacentral:rRNA from 1 species